UCCUACGGGAGGCAGCAGUGAGGAAUAUUGGUCAAUGGACGCAAGUCUGAACCAGCCAUGCCGCGUGCAGGAAGAAUGCCCUAUGGGUUGUAAACUGCUUUUAUUUAGGAAGAAACCCCCGAACGUGUUCGGGGCUGACGGUACUAAACGAAUAAGGACCGGCUAACUCCGUGCCAGCAGCCGCGGUAAUACGGAGGGGGUUAGCGUUGUUCGGAAUUACUGGGCGUAAAGCGCGCGUAGGCGGAUUAGAAAGUUGGGGGUGAAAUCCCGGGGCUCAACCCCGGAACUGCCUCCAAAACUGCUAGUCUAGAGUUCGAGAGAGGUGAGUGGAAUUCCGAGUGUAGAGGUGAAAUUCGUAGAUAUUCGGAGGAACACCAGUGGCGAAGGCGGCUCACUGGCUCGAUACUGACGCUGAGGUGCGAAAGUGUGGGGAGCAAACAGGAUUAGAUACCCUGGUAGUCCACACCGUAAACGAUGAAUGCCAGUCGUCGGGGCGCUUGCGCUUCGGUGACACACCUAACGGAUUAAGCAUUCCGCCUGGGGAGUACGGUCGCAAGAUUAAAACUCA
rnacentral:rRNA from 1 species